rnacentral:rRNA from 1 species
GACGAACGCUGGCGGCGUGCUUAACACAUGCAAGUCGAGCGGAAAGGCCCUGCUUGCAGGGUACUCGAGUGGCGAACGGGUGAGUAACACGUGGGUGAUCUGCCCUGCACUUCGGGAUAAGCCUGGGAAACUGGGUCUAAUACCGGAUAGGAGCCAUUUUUAGUGUGAUGGUUGGAAAGUUUUUUCGGUGUAGGAUGAGCUCGCGGCCUAUCAGCUUGUUGGUGGGGUAAUGGCCUACCAAGGCGGCGACGGGUAGCCGGCCUGAGAGGGUGGACGGCCACAUUGGGACUGAGAUACGGCCCAGACUCCUACGGGAGGCAGCAGUGGGGAAUAUUGCACAAUGGGCGCAAGCCUGAUGCAGCGACGCCGCGUGGGGGAUGACGGCCUUCGGGUUGUAAACUCCUUUCGCUAGGGACGAAGCUUUUUGUGACGGUACCUAGAUAAGAAGCACCGGCUAACUACGUG